rnacentral:misc_RNA from 1 species
GAUGAAGAACGUAGCGAAAUGCGAUACGUAAUGUGAAUUGCAGAAUUCAGUGAAUCAUCGAAUCUUUGAACGCAUAUUGCGCUCUCUGGUAUUCCGGAGAGCAUGCUUGUUUGAGUAUCAGUAAACACCUCAACUUCCAUAUCUUUUUUGAAAUGGGAGUUGGACUUGAGUGAUCCCAACGCUUUUCCUCACCGAAAAGUGGCGGGUUACUUGAAAUGCAGGUGCAGCUGGACUUUUCUCUGAGCGAUAAGCAUAUCUAUUUAGUCUGCCUAAAAAACAGAUUAUUACCUUUGCUGCAGCUAACAUAAAGGAGAUUAGUUCUUGUGCUGACUGAUGCAGGAUUCACAAAGACAGGCUUCGGCCGACUUUGUAAACUCGAUCUCAAAUCAAGUAAGACUACCCGCUGAACUUAAGCAUAUCAAUAAGCGGAGGA